ACUGGUGGUGAUUUUGCUCUGGGUGAAUGGUUUGCUUUAGGGUAAUUUCUGUUAUUGACAACUGCCGGUUGUACUAAUUCAUUUAUUUUUAGCUUCUAGAACUGGUAAACAGGUUCUUGUUUUGCUAAUCAGUGCUGGUAUUGCAUAAGGCUCAAGCUCCAUAUCUCCCACCUGGUUAGUAAAAGAAGGUACAUAAGUGAUACUAUGUAAGAGCCUCUCAAAAUAGUGUAAGUAGCCCAAAUGAUUUUGAUGUAACUGAAAAGUACAUCUCUCAACAUUCCAUUUUCAGAAGGACUGUCCUUAUCUCCAGGAAUGCAUUUAUUUGAGCUCUUGGAGAAGAAUGCCCUUUCAAGCAUUUCAACUCUCACAUGAGGAGGUUUCUUACACAGUUGAUGACUAACCCCUUGGUCAGUAUCUGACCAAGAGCCUGGGGGCCAGAGUGAGCUGUCUGACACCCUUUGUGAGAAUCACCACUGAGGGCAUGACCAAAAGAACAGAUCAGCACAAACUAAGGAACAGUGCAUGUGUGAGGUCAUAGAAGCACCACAAAUGCUGCUUGUGUGCACACCUUUAAUAGACAGUGAAUGGGAAUCCAUCUAUACUGUGAAUGCAGCUCUACUAGAGAAAUGUCCAGCCCGAAAGCAAUCAGACUCAGCUUGUAACUUGGAAUCCUGCCACGACAUAGAGAUACUCUGAAGAUACAGUACGUGAAACCACAGUUGUGGAAACCUGAAACUGGUAUCAGACGCAGAGAUACAGAAGAAACACAACAAAAUGACUGACAAUCAAGGACAAUGCCUUUUUUGAUUUUCUCUGAAAACUGAACUCAACCUCUUUUGCUAACUAUCUAUUGAUACUUUAUUUCUUACCUCAAGAACACUGCCAAAGUGACUAGAGGCUCCAGAUAAUGCCAAGAACAUACAAAUGAAGCUUUUUUUCUGGCUUUCUUUAAACACACAGUUAGAAUUUGGUAUACACUAGCUGGAUACAAAGUGCAAGUGGUUUACUUAGUUAGAAAAACGUAAAAAACACCAGAGAACUGUGGAAAGAGAAAACAAGUACGGGAGGAUAUGGCAAGCAGAAUAAAUGAAGCUGGCUCAAGAGGACUAGCA
rnacentral:lncRNA from 1 species